GACGAACGCUGGCGGCGUGCUUAACACAUGCAAGUCGAACGGAAAGGCCCUGCUUGCAGGGUACUCGAGUGGCGAACGGGUGAGUAACACGUGGGUGAUCUGCCCUGCACUUCGGGAUAAGCCUGGGAAACUGGGUCUAAUACCGGAUAGGAGCCAUUUUUAGUGUGAUGGUUGGAAAGUUUUUUCGGUGUAGGAUGAGCUCGCGGCCUAUCAGCUUGUUGGUGGGGUAAUGGCCUACCAAGGCGGCGACGGGUAGCCGGCCUGAGAGGGUGAACGGCCACAUUGGGACUGAGAUACGGCCCAGACUCCUACGGGAGGCAGCAGUGGGGAAUAUUGCACAAUGGGCGCAAGCCUGAUGCAGCGACGCCGCGUGGGGGAUGACGGCCUUCGGGUUGUAAACUCCUUUCGCUAGGGACGAAGCUUUUGUGACGGUACCUAGAUAAGAAGCACCGGCUAACUACGUG
rnacentral:rRNA from 1 species